CUACGGGUUGCAGCAGUGGGGAAUAUUGCACAAUGGGCGCAAGCCUGAUGCAGCCAUGCCGCGUGUAUGAAGAAGGCCUUCGGGUUGUAAAGUACUUUCAGCGGGGAGGAAGGGAGUAAAGUUAAUACCUUUGCUCAUUGACGUUACCCGCAGAAGAAGCACCGGCUAACUCCGUGCCAGCAGCCGCGGUAAUACGGAGGGUGCAAGCGUUAAUCGGAAUUACUGGGCGUAAAGCGCACGCAGGCGGUUGGUUAAGUCGGAUGUGAAAUCCCCGGGCUCAACCUGGGAACUGCAUCUGAUACUGGCAAGCUUGAGUCUCGUAGAGGGGGGUAGAAUUCCAGGUGUAGCGGUGAAAUGCGUAGAGAUCUGGAGGAAUACCGGUGGCGAAGGCGGCCCCCUGGACGAAGACUGACGCUCAGGUGCGAAAGCGUGGGGAGCAAACAGGAUUAGAUACCCCGGUAGUC
rnacentral:rRNA from 1 species